rnacentral:rRNA from 1 species
AUUGAACGCUGGCGGCAGGCCUAACACAUGCAAGUCGAACGAGUGGCGGACGGGUGAGUAAUGGCUGGGAAACUGCCCGAUGGAGGGGGAUAAAUACUGGAAACGGUAGCUAAUACCGCAUACCAUCGGAUGUGCCCAGAUGGGAUUAGCUAGUAGGUGGGGUAACGGCUCACCUAGGCGACGAUCCCUAGCUGGUCUGAGAGGAUGACCAGCCACACUGGAACUGAGACACGGUCCAGACUCCUACGGGAGGCAGCAGUGGGGAAUAUUCCGCAAUGGGCCCAAGUCUGAUUCAGCCACGCCGCGUGUGUGAAGAAGGCCUUCGGAUUGUAAAGUACUUUCAGCGAGGAGGCGUUACUCGCAGAAGAAGCACCGGCUAACUCCGUGCCAGCAGCCGCGGUAAUUC